CAGCUAGCUUAUCCACCAAUAUAACCAAAUAAUAUAAAUAAAAUAGAAUAGGCCAAACACCAAAAAUUAAACCAUUCUUUUACCUGAGUAUGGGAGACAGAAAAGGUUCAACCAAAGCAAUAGAUAUAGUACCGCAAGGGAAAGCUGAAAGAGAAAUGAAACAACCCAUAUAAGUACCAAAAAGCAAAGACUAAACCUUGUACCUUUUGCAUCAUGAUUUAGCCAGUAAACACAAGCAAAGAGACCUUUAGUUUGAAACCCCGAAACCAGGUGAGCUACCCCGAGACAGCCUAUUAAGGGCCAACCCGUCUCUGUGGCAAAAGAGUGGGAAGAGCUCCGGGUAGAAGUGACAGACCUACCGAACCUGGUGAUAGCUGGUUGCCUAAGAAAUGGAUAGAAGUUCAGCCUCGUACGCCUCAAAUCAAACAAGCACUAACCAAGACACCAAGAGAAAAACACGAGAGUUAGUUAAAGGGGGUACAGCCCCUUUAACAAAGGAUACAACCUUAUCCAGGAGGAUAAAGAUCAUAAUAUAUAAAACAUGCUGUUCUAGUGGGCCUAAAAGCAGCCACCUAAACAGAAAGCGUUAAAGCUCAGACAGAAAAAAGUUUAUUAUUCUGAUAAAAAAUCUUACUCCCCUAAAUACUAUUAGGCUAAUCCAUGCCCCCAUGGAAGAAAUUAUGCUAAAAUGAGUAACAAGAAGGCCCGCCCUUCUCCAAGCACAAGUGUAAGCCAAAACGGACCAACCAUUGGCAAUUAACGAACUCAACCCAAGAGGGCAAUGUGAACUAUAAAAAAAACAAGAAAACCCCACAACUCAACUAUCGUUAACCCCACACUGGAGUGCCAUUUAAAGGAAAGACUAAAAGAAAGGGAAGGAACUCGGCAAACACAAGCCUCGCCUGUUUACCAAAAACAUCGCCUCCUGCAACGCAGCCAUGUAUAGGAGGUCCAGCCUGCCCAGUGACUACAAGUUCAACGGCCGCGGUAUUUUGACCGUGCAAAGGUAGCGCAAUCACUUGUCUUUUAAAUAGAGACCUGUAUGAAUGGCUAAACGAGGGCUUAACUGUCUCCCCUUUCAAGUCAGUGAAAUUGAUCUGCCCGUGCAGAAGCG
rnacentral:rRNA from 1 species